rnacentral:rRNA from 1 species
AACGAACGCUGGCGGCGUGCCUAACACAUGCAAGUCGAACGGGGAUAGGGAGCUUGCUUCCUAUUCUAGUGGCGCACGGGUGAGUAACGCGUAGAUAAUCUGCCUGACGAUCCGGGAUAACAUCUCGAAAGGGGUGCUAAUACCGGAUAAGCCCACGGGGUCUUUGGACCUUGCGGGAAAAGGGGGGGACCUUUUGGCCUUCUGUCGUCAGAUGAGUCUGCGUACCAUUAGCUAGUUGGUAGGGUAAAGGCCUACCAAGGCUACGAUGGUUAGCUGGUUUGAGAGAAUGAACAGCCACCCUGGAACUGAGACACGGGCCAGACUCCGACGGGAGGCAGCAGUGGGGAAUUUUGCGCAAUGGGCGAAAGCCUGACGCAGCAACGCCGCGUGAGUGAUGAAGGCUUUCGGGUCGUAAAGCUCUGUCGAGGGGAAAGAAGUGUAUUGUGGCUAAUAUCCGCGAUACUUGACGGUACCCCUAAAGGAAGCACCGGCUAACUCCGUGCCAGCCGCCGCCGUAAGAC